rnacentral:rRNA from 1 species
AUGAACGCUGGCGGCGUGCCUAAUCCAUGCAAGUCGCGCGAACAGACGAGGAGCUUGCUCCUCUGACGUUAGCGGCGGACGGGUGAGUAACACGUGGAUAACCUACCUAUAAGACUGGGAUAACUUCGGGAAACCGGAGCUAAUACCGGAUAAUAUAUUGAACCGCAUGGUUCAAUAGUGAAAGACGGUUUUGCUGUCACUUAUAGAUGGAUCCGCGCCGCAUUAGCUAGUUGGUAAGGUAACGGCUUACCAAGGCGACGAUGCGUAGCCGACCUGAGAGGGUGUUCGGCCACACUGGAACUGAGACACGGUCCAGACUCCUACGGGAGGCAGCAGUAGGGAAUCUUCCGCAAUGGGCGAAAGCCUGACGGAGCAACGCCGCGUGAGUGAUGAAGGUCUUCGGAUCGUAAAACUCUGUUAUUAGGGAAGAACAAAUGUGUAAGUAACUAUGCACGUCUUGACGGUACCUAAUCAGAAAGCCACGGCUAACUACGUG